CCUACGGGUGGCAGCAGUGGGGAAUAUUGCACAAUGGGCGAAAGCCUGAUGCAGCAACGCCGCGUGAAGGAAGACGGUCUUCGGAUUGUAAACUUCUGUUCUUAGUGAAGAAUAAUGACGGUAACUAAGGCGCAAGCCACGGCUAACUACGUGCCAGCAGCUGCGGUAAUACGUAGGUGGCAAGCGUUGUCCGGAAUUACUGGGUGUAAGGGGAGCGUAGGUGGGAAGCCAAGUCAGCUGUGAAAACUACGGGCUUAACGUGUGGACUGCAGUUGAAACUGGCUUUCUUGAGUGAAGUAGAGGUGGGCGGAAUUCCGGGUGUAGCGGUGAAAUGCGUAGAUAUUCGGAGGAACACCGGUGGCGAAGGCGGCCAACUGGGCUUUAACUGACGCUGAGGCACGAAAGUGUGGGGAGCAAACAGGAUUAGAUACCCUAGUAGUC
rnacentral:rRNA from 1 species